rnacentral:rRNA from 1 species
CCGGUAAACGGCGGCCGUAACUAUAACGGUCCUAAGGUAGCGAAAUUCCUUGUCGGGUAAGUUCCGACCUGCACGAAUGGCGUAAUGAUGGCCAGGCUGUCUCCACCCGAGACUCAGUGAAAUUGAACUCGCUGUGAAGAUGCAGUGUACCCGCGGCAAGACGGAAAGACCCCGUGAACCUUUACUAUAGCUUGACACUGAACAUUGAGCCUUGAUGUGUAGGAUAGGUGGGAGGCUUUGAAGCGUGGACGCCAGUCUGCGUGGAGCCGACCUUGAAAUACCACCCUUUAAUGUUUGAUGUUCUAACGUGGACCCGUAAUCCGGGUUGCGGACAGUGUCUGGUGGGUAGUUUGACUGGGGCGGUCUCCUCCUAAAGAGUAACGGAGGAGCACGAAGGUUGGCUAAUCCUGGUCGGACAUCAGGAGGUUAGUGCAAUGGCAUAAGCCAGCUUGACUGCGAGCGUGACGGCGCGAGCAGGUGCGAAAGCAGGUCAUAGUGAUCCGGUGGUUCUGAAUGGAAGGGCCAUCGCUCAACGGAUAAAAGGUACUCCGGGGAUAACAGGCUGAUACCGCCCAAGAGUUCAUAUCGACGGCGGUGUUUGGCACCUCGAUGUCGGCUCAUCACAUCCUGGGGCUGAAGUAGGUCCCAAGGGUAUGGCUGUUCGCCAUUUAAAGUGGUACGCGAGCUGGGUUUAGAACGUCGUGAGACAGUUCGGUCCCUAUCUGCCGUGGGCGCUGGAGAACUGAGGGGGGCUGCUCCUAGUACGAGAGGACCGGAGUGGACGCAUCACUGGUGUUCGGGUUGUCAUGCCAAUGGCACUGCCCGGUAGCUAAAUGCGGAAGAGAUAAGUGCUGAAAGCAUCUAAGCACGAAACUUGCCCCGA